ACACCCAUUUCCUAGACAGUAAAAAAUGGUCACUUCACUUGUAUUGUGUGACACUGUGUUGUGCUGUAAACAGUUCAUAUAGAUUUGCACCCUGUAGCUGGAUGAAUUCAGGGCAUUAAUUAUUGCCCAGUCCCUCCAUUUAGAUGUGGGAAUUCUCUUAUACAGUCAUCCUGUAAAUAGUCCUCAGAGGAUUAAUGAAUAACUGUUGGAGAUUACUGGUUAACUGUUGACAGUUAGCUUUUUUGGAUAGCUCCAUGGUUAACCACAAGGUUCCCACUGUGUUUAUUUGUGUGGGGUCAGUCAGGUCAUUGCACUCUGCUGUCUGCUUGCCUUUCAGGUCAUGAGGUUACUGUUCACUGACCACAGGACCCUGUUUAUUUUGUACAUGUAAAU